rnacentral:rRNA from 1 species
AUUGAACGCUGGCGGCAGGCUUAACACAUGCAAGUCGAGCGGGGUGAUGGUGCUUGCACUAUCACUUAGCGGCGGACGGGUGAGUAAUGCUUAGGAAUCUGCCUAUUAGUGGGGGACAACAUCUCGAAAGGGAUGCUAAUACCGCAUACGUCCUGCGGGAGAAAGCAGGGGAUCACUUGUGACCUUGCGCUAAUAGAUGAGCCUAAGUCGGAUUAGCUAGUUGGUGGGGUAAAGGCCUACCAAGGCGACGAUCUGUAGCGGGUCUGAGAGGAUGAUCCGCCACACUGGGACUGAGACACGGCCCAGACUCCUACGGGAGGCAGCAGUGGGGAAUAUUGGACAAUGGGGGGAACCCUGAUCCAGCCAUGCCGCGUGUGUGAAGAGGGCCUUAUGGUUGUAAAGCACUUUAAGCGAGGAGGAGGCUACUGAGACUAAUACUCUUGGAUAGUGGACGUUACUCGCAGAAUAAGCACCGGCUAACUCUGUGCCAGCCGCCGCAGUAA